UCCGGACUGAAAUCAUCCCGCACAAAAACCUGACAAGGGGUGAACAUGUAGGCUUCUGCUUUCAAUCGAAAUGUCUGGAAUUUGAGCAGGUUCGAGAAGUUUUCCUCCAAAACGCCUCGGCGUAGCGCUGUUUUUGUUCAGAUGAUAGACUGGGGCUCUUAGGACAAGAAUCGUUAAGGUUAGGAAAACACCAAAGCACGACAAGUAUAGACAUCUGAACAAAGAGGAUCUGGAGGAUAAAUUGGCGCGUAGAGAAUCUCACUGCUUCAGAUUUGAGGUACAAGAAAGAAAUGCAAUGCGAACUUCUGAAAUCAAAAUAUAUAGAAGGAGCGUGAGAAAUUAUUCGAAAGAAAAUCCAAAUCCUCAUCACAUAUUUUAAGAAAAUUCCAAGGCUAUAGGCUUACCGUUUUUUCGGACUAAAAGGUAAAGUAUUCCCCAGAAUAAUUCCAGAGAGCUUUCUCUACCUGAAGAAGCGUAUUGGCCAAGGAGUCGUCAAUCAAAUUGAGCUAGUGUAAAAUCCCAUCGAGAUAUCUUUGAUUUUUAACUUUUUCAAUCGAUUAAUUGGCGAUAACUCGAUCAAUUUUAUAGAUGGAAUUAGUCUGCUUGCAGAUUCGGAUUCCUGAGAUCAGAAUACAUGAAGAUAGCGUGAUAGACCCUUCAAAAAAAAAUCUUAAUCUUCAUCUCAAAUUUUAAGAAUAUUCCAAGGCUAUAGGCUUACCGUUUUUUCGGACUGAAAGGUGAAGUAUUUGCCAGAAUAAUUCCAGGACGCUUAACCUACGUAAAAAUGCGCAACAAACACGAAGCCGUCAAUCAAAUUGAGCUGGCAUCAGAUCCCAACGAUUUGGAUUCCUGAGACCAGAAUACAUAGGAAUAUCAUGGGAAACUUCAUGGAAAAUAUUCGGAAUCAUCAUCUCAAAUUUUGAGAAAACUCCAAGGCUAUAGACUUACCGUUUUUUUGGGGUACAAAGAGAGCAUUGGGGCAUCGAGAUCACUAAGGCAACGGUGGCAACACACCCGCAUAGAAAAUACAAGACUAUCCUCGAUGCAUUCACAUAACUGGACUUUACAAUAUCCUGCAGUUUGGUGAUCUAUACUUCCAAUUAUUAUGUGUUCCGAGUGGAUAAUUACGUAGAAAUUAACGAUAAUGUAUACCUCUCGUAUCUUAGAGGAUAAGAAAUGAAUAAUUGAAUACUAAUUGGAAUGAAACUAUCGUCCAUACUCUUGUAACGCAUUAAUCAUAAGUAUAUAGAAAUGAAUUUAUAUUUUUCAUUGCAAAGUCUCAAUAUGUAUUCUUGACGAUUGAUUUAUUAAUAAAAAUCUCUGUAACUAAUA
rnacentral:lncRNA from 1 species